UACGUAGGGUGCAAGCGUUGUCCGGAAUUAUUGGGCGUAAAGAGCUCGUAGGUGGCCUGUCGCGUCGGCUGUGAAAACUCGGGGCUCAACUCCGGGCCUGCAGUCGAUACGGGCAGACUAGAGUGAUGUAGGGGAGACUGGAAUUCCUGGUGUAGCGGUGAAAUGCGCAGAUAUCAGGAGGAACACCGAUGGCGAAGGCAGGUCUCUGGGCAUUAACUGACGCUGAGGAGCGAAAGCAUGGGGAGCGAACAGG
rnacentral:rRNA from 1 species